rnacentral:rRNA from 1 species
GGUGGCAACACCGGGGAAAACCUAGCGGCGAACGGGUGAGGGACACGUGAGGAACCUGCCCCGAAGUCUGGGAUAACACCGGGAAACCGGUGCUAACACCGGAUGUCCUCCUCUUGGCGCAUGCCGGGAAGAGGAAAGGUUACGCUUCGGGAGGGCCUCGCGGCCUAUCAGCUUGUUGGCGGGGUAACGGCCCACCAAGGCUACGACGGGUAGCUGGUCUGAGAGGACGACCAGCCACACUGGGACUGAGACACGGCCCAGACUCCUACGGGAGGCAGCAGUGGGGAAUCUUGCGCAAUGGGCGAAAGCCUGACGCAGCAACGCCGCGUGCGGGACGAAGGCCUUCGGGUUGUAAACCGCUUUCAGCAGGGACGAAACUGACGGUACCUGCAGAAGAAGCCCCGGCCAACUACGUGCCAGCAGCCGCGGUAAUACGUAGGGGGCGAGCGUUGUCCGGAUUUAUUGGGCGUAAAGAGCUCGUAGGCGGCUGGGCAAGUCGGGUGUGAAAACUCCGGGCUCAACUCGGAGAGGCCAUCUGAUACUGCCCUGGCUAGAGUCCGGUAGGGGAGCGCGGAAUUCCUGGUGUAGCGGUGAAAUGCGCAGAGAUCAGGAGGAACACCGGUGGCGAAGGCGGCGCUCUGGGCCGGUACUGACGCUGAGGAGCGAAAGCGUGGGGAGCGAACAGGAUUAGAUACCCUGGUAGUCCACGCUGUAAACGUCGGGCACUAGGUGUGGGGUCUCAUCGACGGGCUCCGUGCCGCAGCUAACGCAUUAAGUGCCCCGCCUGGGGAGUACGGCCGCAAGGCUAAAACUCACAGGAAUUGACGGGGGCCCGCACAAGCGGCGGAGCAUGUUGCUUAAUUCGAUGCAACGCGAAGAACCUUACCAGGGUUUGACAUGUAGGGAAAAGCCGUAGAG